ensembl:lncRNA
AGCUCCUGUCACUUUGACCUGAACGUGAUGCCAGUGUGGAGCAGGAACAGCACAGGGAAUGGAGUGGAGGUCAGCAUCAUCGAUGACGGUAUCGAUCUUCUGGACGGCACGGUGACGGAUUCCGUGGAGGCCACAUCUCUGACCUUCAACAAUGACUUCAUUGAUGUGUACGUGUGCUGCUGAGGCACGCGGGACGACGGACAGGAAAUGGCCGGGGACACUCACACAGAAAGCACUGAGGCUGGGCAAGG